ACUCAUUUUUGUCUCACAAAAAAAUAAACCCAAAAGUGUAAGAUUUGAGUCUACUUUUUCGUGAGACAAAAAGAAGCCU